GUGUCCUAUGAUGAUUAUUCAUUUACCUACAUUGUCUGAAGUCAUGAUAGAUAAAUAUCACUGAGGACAGC